rnacentral:rRNA from 1 species
CCUACGGGCGGCAGCAGUGAGGAAUAUUGGUCAAUGGGCGGAAGCCUGAACCAGCCAAGUCGCGUGAGGGAUUAAGGCCCUGCGGGUCGUAAACCUCUUUUGCCGGGGAGCAGUGGUCCGGACGCGUCCGGGCCGGGAGAGUACCCGGAGAAAAAGCAUCGCCGAAUCCCUUGCCAGCAGCGGCGGUAUUACGGGGGAUGCGAGCGUUAGCCGGAUUGAUUGGGUUUAAAGGGUGCGUAGGCGGGCAUUUAAGCCGGCGGUCAAAUGGCGGGGCUCAACCCCGGCGUGCCGUCGGAACUGGGUGCCUUGAGUGGGCGGGAGGUAUGCGGAAUGCGUGGUGUAGCGGUGAAAUGCAUAGAUAUCGCGCAGAACCCCGAUUGCGAAGGCAGCAUGCCGGCGCCCGACUGACGCUGAGGCACGAAAGUGCGGGUAUCGAACAGGAUUAGAUACCCUUGUAGUC